GCUGGGGUUGUGGCUCAGUGGUAGAGCACUUGCCUAGAAUGUGUGAGGCACUGGGUUCAAUUCUCAGCCCUGCA
rnacentral:tRNA from 1 species